UCACAUAAUGUUAAUCGAAAGUCAUGGCCUUUUUUGAAGUUGCAUACAUAAGAACUAAAGGAAUUAGUAGUCAGCACCCUCAAUGUACAACCAAAGUUUGCAUACUAAAAACUAUGUUAUUCCUCAAUAAUCUUUCAUAUGAUUAUACCUAGUACCUGGUUUGUGAGGCAACGAAAACAUGAGGUGGUUGAGGUCUCCGAUCAAGGUUUAGAUCUUGGAUAACAGAGGUUGCCUUUACACUCAUCGUGACAGCCUUGAAUAGCAACAAUCAUAUCUCCACCAUGGCUGCAACACAGGUUGCCACACCUGGUAGAAAGAGAGAGAGAAAUGUAGAGGGUUCCGGCGAGCUCAUACACCAAAUGAUUGUACGACAUCUGCAGAACAACUGAAGUCAGAAAAACAAUGUAAGUCCAAACCCUUUCUU
rnacentral:lncRNA from 1 species